GCCUUUGUGGUUCAGUGGUUGAGCAUCAACCUGUGAACCAGGAGAUUAGGGUUCGAUUCCCUGUCAGGGCA
rnacentral:tRNA from 1 species